rfam:Propionispora sp. 2/2-37 isolate 2/2-37 genome assembly, contig: 2/2_contig31
CUCAAUAUGUUUCAUUGGCUGUAGACAGCAGGUAAUGGUAAUGGAUGUAAGUCCGCCUGCCGAGGCCGGGGAUUAGUCGUAUGGCAUUGCCUUAGCGACCUCCGGUAUAUACUGCCUGGAGGUCGUUUUUAUUUAUUAUU